ACCAAAUACUUCCUAGAUGCAAGAUCAUAUAGCCUAUAACCCUUUUUUCCAAAAGGAUAACCCAGGAAAACACAAGGAAUGGCUCUGGGCUUUAACUUGUCCCUUUGAGGGAUGGGAACAGUGGCAUAGGCCAGGCAACCAAAAGCCCUCAAGUGAGUAUAGGAAGGAAUUGUUCCAUACAAAAUUUCAUGAGGAGACUUAUUAUGAAGCAAUCUAGUGGGUAUUCUGUUAAGAAGAUAGGUGGCAGUCAACAAGCAGUCCCCCCAGAAGGAAACUGGUAAGCCAGAUUGAAAGAGCAAUGCUCUACAGGUUUCAAGGAGAGUUCUAUGCUUUCUCUCAACAACACCAUUUUGUUAAGGGGUGUGAGGGCAGGAGGUCUGAUGUAUGAUCCCCUGACUGCUAAAGAAAGAAAUUCCCUCAUUGCUAGAGCCCAAUUCUAAGGCAUUGUCACUUCUGACAACAGAAAGAAAUUCCCUCAUUGCUAGAGCCCAAUUCUAAGGCAUUGUCACUUCUAACAGUCUGAACCACAAUAUUAAAUUGGGUUCUGACCAUAGCAAGAAAUGACUUAAGCAUAGAAAAAGCAUUACUUUUGGAUCCCAAUAGGUGUGUCCAGGUUGCCCUAGAAAAAUCAUCAACAAUUGUACGGAAAUAUUUGCAUCCAGAUGAGGCAGGAGUAUGAUAAGGUCCCUAAUUGUCCAUAUGAAUCAGUUGAAAAGGCCUAGAGGUUCUAAUGGAGCUAUCAGGGAAAGGAAGCCUAGUCUGUCUGGCCAUGGGACAGAUAGUACAGGGAAAAUGUUGUUUGGAAGCAAAAGGAAAAGACAGACCAGAAAUGCAUUUCAUGUUUGCAAAAGGAAUAUGUGCAAGUCUUAAGUGCUAAAUGUAAUUCAUAUUAGAUGUAAGAUCAUUAUUACAAGUGGAACCAUGUACAUGAGAAUGCAAAGAAACAACCUUGUUAUCAGAUAAGAUAUCAUCAUUACAAGAAGACACAGAAGGCAAUGCAACAACUUUGUUAUCAUUACAAGAAGCAGACUCAGGACAAACUGAAGUAGAAGAACAAUUAACAGAGGGAGAAGGGGAAGACCCACUCUAGCUUAUACAAGCCAGCAGCUUCUCUACCAAGAUCCAGUGGCCUCCUCGGUGAAGGGUCCUGUAUCAUGUGUAGUAAGCAGGAAUGUUCAGUGAGCAUAACUAUACAAUGUAACUGCUUCACUAACUUGUGAACAGAAAUCAAGUUGUGUUUAAAAGA
rnacentral:lncRNA from 1 species